CAAACCCUCAAAAUCCCGAUUUCACACCCACAAAACCCCAAUUUCAAACCCUCCAAACCCCGAUUUCCAACCCACAAAACCCCAAUUUCGAACCCUCAAAACCCCAAUUUCAAACCCUCAAAACCCCGAUUUCAAACCCUCAAAACCCCGAUUUCAAACCCCAAUUUCAAACCCACACAACCCCAAUUUAAAACCCUCCAAACCCCGAUUUCAAACCCUCAAAACCCCAAUUUCCAACCCUCAAAACCCCAAUUUCAAACCCUCCAAACCCCGAUUUCAAACCCACAAAAUCCUGAUUUCCAACCCUCCAAACCCGUAUUUCAAACCCUCAAAAUCCUGAUUUCAAAACCCCAAUUUCAAACCCUCAAAACCCCAAUUUCAAACCCCAAUUUCAAACCCACAAAACCCCUAUUUCAAACCCUCAAAACCCCGAUUUCAAACCCUCAAAACCCCAAUUUCAAAACCUCAAAACCCCAAUUUCAAACCCACAAAACCCCAAUUUCAAACCCUCAAAACCCCGAUUUCAAACCCUCAAAACCCCAAUUUCAAAACCCCAAUUUCCAACCCUCAAAACCCCGAUUUCAAACCCUCAAAACCCCAAUUUCAAACCCUCAAAACCCCGAUUUCCAACCCUCAAAAUCCCAAUUUCAAACCCUCAAAAUCCCGAUUUCAAACCCUCAAAAUCCUGAUUUCAAACCCCGAUUUCAAACCCUCAAAACCCCGAUUUCAAACCCUCAAAACCCCAAUUUCCAACCCUCCAAACCCCAAUUUCAAACCACAAAACCCCAAUUUCAAACCCUCAAAAUCCCGAUUUCCAACCCACAAAACCCCAAUUUCAAACCCUCCAAACCCCGAUUUCCAACCCUCAAAAUCCCGAUUUCCAACCCUCAAAAUCCCAAUUUCAAACCCACAAAACCCCAAUUUCCAACCCUCAAAAUCCCGAUUUUCAACCCUCAAAACCCCAAUUUCAAACCCUCCAAACCCCGAUUUCAAACCCUCAAAACCCCAAUUUCCAACCCUCAAAAUCCCGAUUUCCAACCCUCAAAAUCCCAAUUUCAAACCCACAAAACCCCAAUUUCCAACCCUCAAAACCCUGAUUUCCAACCCACAAAACCCCGAUUUCCAGCCCUCCAAACCCCAAUUUCCAACCCACAAAACCCCGAUUUCUAACCCUCAAAACCCCGAUUUCAAACCCUCAAAAUCCUGAUUUCAAACCCCAAUUUCAAACCCUCAAAAUCCCGAUUUCAAACCCUCCAAACCCCAAUUUCAAACCCUCAAAACCCCAAUUUCAAAAACUCAAAACCCCGAUUUCCAACCCACAAAACCCCGAUUUCCAACCCACAAAACCCCAAUUUCAAACCCACAAAAUCCCGAUUUCCAACCCACAAAACCCCAAUUUCAAACCCNNNNNNNNNNNNN
rnacentral:lncRNA from 1 species